UACGUAGGGGGCAAGCGUUGUCCGGAAUCAUUGGGCGUAAAGCGCGUGUAGGCGGCCCGGUAAGUCCGCUGUGAAAGUCGGGGGCUCAACCCUCGAAUGCCGGUGGAUACUGUCGGGCUAGAGUGCGGAAGAGGCGAGUGGAAUUCCUGGUGUAGCGGUGAAAUGCGCAGAUAUCAGGAGGAACACCAAUCGCGAAGGCAGCUCGCUGGGACGUGACUGACGCUGAGACGCGAAAGCGUGGGGAGCAAACAGG
rnacentral:rRNA from 1 species